rnacentral:rRNA from 1 species
UACGGGGGGGGCAAGCGUCGUUCGGAAUUACUGGGCGUAAAGGGCUCGUAGGCGGCCAACUAAGUCCGACGUGAAAUCCCCAGGCUUAACCUGGGAACUGCGUCGGAUACUGGCUGGCUUGAAUCCGGGAGAGGGAUGCGGAAUUCCAGGUGUAGCGGUGAAAUGCGUAGAUAUCUGGAGGAACACCGGUGGCGAAGGCGGCAUCCUGGACCGGCAUUGACGCUGAACAGCGAAAGCCAGGGGAGCAAACGGG